GGCGGCCCAUAACCUCCAAAUAGGCCCAACACCAAUAGGCGAACAGGCAGAUAACACGAUACAACCAACAUUACAAGAGUUUAGUAUCACCUCGUCCAGUUAAAAGAACACAAGGUACAACGUUUCUAUAUAAUGAUGCUUGACACCAUGUUUCUACCUGCCCAGCUAGACUGAGUGGGAGGUGUGGGCCUUGGGCCAAUUAAUUUGAUUUUUUUUUAUUUUCAGAAAAUUCCGAGACUUAAAUUUCGAUUAAAAUCGGUAACCGAAGUAAACGGUCGGUAAAACGUUUAACCGAUUUCGAUAUCGAUUCCGAAAUUUAAUACCGAUUUCGUUUUCGGGAAUUACCGUUACAGUUGGAUCGGAUAAAAAAAUUCGAAAAUGGUUUCCAUAAAACCGAAAAUUUUUGAAACCGUUUUCAUCCCAGUCAUCACCUCGUAUCCACCUAGUGCCACCGCCGAUGCCACGUCUUGGCCAGGUGUCUAGUUCCGUCUCCGCAUGUCCCCAGCCCUCGUCCACCGUCCACGGCCCACCAGCGGCCUCCCGAGUGUCGCCUCCGCGAUGUCACUGGAGCGGCGGAACAUCUAGCCCAGCCAAGCUCUACCAUGGCCGACGCCAUAGCCGAGCUCUGCGUCCGGCCAGCCGCCCAGGACGAGGUGGCUAGCUUUGGCCCUUCUGCCCUUCGCGCUGAGGCAGGCCGAGCUCCUCCCCACCUCCGCCUUACCGAGCUCCAGCCAGGGUGCCAGGGCCGCUGGUGGAGCUCCGCCCCGUACACCGCGAGCUCCUAUUCUUCCGGCCAGCUGUGAGCCUUAUUCCUUGGUACCAGAAAAUAAGGCAACACAAGUGAGUAUAGUUCAAGCUUGAUCAACUUUCCUUUAGGAAGCCGACAAAAUGGAGAAGCUCGGGAUAAAAUCAUUCAAUCAUUAGCAUGUUACACAAUGCAACAAAUGAGAGUCUUUAGUCAUUUCCUUCCUUAAUAAGGUCUGUUUCAUCUUCGUAACAUAAAAAAUAUUUACAAGUAUACCUUUGACUUCACAGUUGAACCUGAAGGUAUCUUUGGAGGUGGAACAAGCCGACACUAUCGAGCUCCAAAAAUCUCUCUAUGCAUAACACUGUUUCUUUAUUUAUAGUCGUGGGUACAACUUUCUAUAAAAUUACAAACAUACCCAUGAAUCUUACACAAAUGAUUUAUAUGUUCCAUAAGGGCAGUAUUGUCUUUUCUUC